AUUGAACGCUGGCGGCAUGCUUUACACAUGCAAGUCGAACGGUAAUAGGCCUUCGGGUGCUGACGAGUGGCGAACGGGUGAGUAAUGCAUCGGAACGUGCCCAGAGGUGGGGGAUAACGCAGCGAAAGCUGUGCUAAUACCGCAUGUGAUCUGAGGAUGAAAGCGGGGGACCAGGCAGCAAUGUUUGGCCUCGCGCCUUUGGAGCGGCCGAUGUCAGAUUAGGUAGUUGGUGGGGUAAAGACCUACCAAGCCGACGAUCUGUAGCUGGUCUGAGAGGACGACCAGCCACACUGGGACUGAGACACGGCCCAGACUCCUACGGGAGGCAGCAGUGGGGAAUUUUGGACAAUGGGCGCAAGCCUGAUCCAGCAAUGCCGCGUGCGGGAAGAAGGCCUUCGGGUUGUAAACCGCUUUUGUACGGAACGAAAAGGCUCUGGCUAAUACCUGGGGCUGAUGACGGUACCGUAAGAAUAAGCACCGGCUAACUACGUG
rnacentral:rRNA from 1 species